GAUGAACGCUAGCUACAGGCUUAACACAUGCAAGUCGCGGGGCAGCAUGAAGUCAGCUUGCUGACUUUGAUGGCGACCGGCGCACGGGUGAGUAACGCGUAUCCAACCUGCCUGUUACCACGGCACAGCCCGUCGAAAGGCGGAUUAAUGCCGUAUGUGGUCCUUUGCGGGCAUCUAAUUAGGACUAAAGGUUCAGCGGUAACGGAUGGGGAUGCGUCCGAUUAGCUAGACGGCGGGGUAACGGCCCACCGUGGCUACGAUCGGUAGGGGUUCUGAGAGGAAGGUCCCCCACACUGGAACUGAGACACGGUCCAGACUCCUACGGGAGGCAGCAGUGAGGAAUAUUGGUCAAUGGGCGUAAGCCUGAACCAGCCAAGUAGCGUGAGGGAAGACUGCCCUAUGGGUUGUAAACCUCUUUUGUGCGGGGAUAAAGUGUGGGACGUGUCCCAUAUUGCAGGUACCGCACGAAUAAGGACCGGCUAAUUCCGUGCCAGCAGCCGCGGUAAUACGGAAGGUCCGGGCGUUAUCCGGAUUUAUUGGGUUUAAAGGGAGCGCAGGCCGUCCUUUAAGCGUGCUGUGAAAUGCCGCGGCUCAACCGUGGCACUGCAGCGCGAACUGGAGGACUUGAGUACGCACGAGGUAGGCGGAAUUCGUGGUGUAGCGGUGAAAUGCUUAGAUAUCACGAAGAACUCCGAUUGCGAAGGCAGCUUACCGGAGCGCAACUGACGCUGAGGCUCGAAAGCGCGGGUAUCGAACAGGAUUAGAUACCCUGGUAGUCCGCGCGGG
rnacentral:rRNA from 1 species